rnacentral:lncRNA from 12 species
AUGCCUCCUCCCCUCUCUGACCUCAGUUUCUCAGUCUGUAAGCAGCAAAUAAUCCUAUCAUCCCUCCCUGCCUCACAGACAAAACAGGGUGGUGGACGUGGAAGCAGAUGGUGCAUAGUAAGCCAUUUAGAAGCUCCUGCAAAGAAGAGAAGUGGUGUUGUGCAAUCCUAUCGACAAGGCAAGAAAAAGGGUGGCUCCUGCUCAUUCCCGAGUUGCAGAGCCUUACUGCCAUUAUUUCAAAAGCCUGAUAAACAAGCACCAAUAGAGCUAUGGACCCCACCCUGGAGUCUUCAGUUAAGUUGCUGUCUUCAAGACCUGCUUGCCAGAGAGCAUCAGUGGCUUGUCUGUCUGCCUGUCUUUCUCUCUGUCUCGCAUGUCACAGGAGCACAGACAUGAGCAGUGCCUCUGAGACAACAUGGGAAUCACCAGCAGGCGUUCCCCCUCCAACUGCUGCUCUCUCUCCAUGGCAGAGUGGCCCGUGUCAGAUGUCUAAAUGGGCAAAGUUUCCAGGGGAAAAAAGUACAAGGUAAUAUAGAAUGAAGCAAAGGGAGAAACAAAAAAUAUUAAUUAUGAGAAGAUGAGAUAUGAGUGAGAAAUGCUCUAAGCUACCAGUAAGAAAUCUUAUGAAGAGUGACUUUAAUUAGAGGGUUUUUUCUCUCUCUUUCCCUCUUUCUCUUGUGAAGCAGCCAUUUGCAAUGUGGUUUCUGCUGGCCCAACCAUCAGAUCCUCCUUCCAGGCAGACAGAAGUGGGGGAAGAAUGGAGACAGAGCCUGUGUACUACUAUGUUUUGGGAAAUCAGAAGCUUUCCCAGGCACUGUCCAGCCAACCAGUCCUCACACCUCAUGCCAGACUACUUCAUGUGGCAUCUCUAACUGCAAGGGGCCCUGGGAAGAGGGGAACAAGAUCUUCAAGACUAGCUUACCCUGAGACCACUUAUGAUCCUCCACUGCAUGACUUGGGACAAUUUCCAGUCCGUAUAUAACCACAGUUCUAUUAGCAAGAAAGGAGAUCAUGGUACUGAGUGGGCUGCUAACAGGAUCUGCCGCAGGGGGUGUGGUGGCAUCACAGAGAAUAUUUUGAGGCCAGAUAAAAGACAAAUACUUCUAAUCUCAGACUAAUCCUGGGAAAGGAUCUCAAAGCAACCUCUCCUCCAGUCUUCUCAUCUGGGACCUGGAACAUACAUCAACCCAUAGACAUCCAUCACUUAGCACUUGGUUCUCUUCCAUCCUCCCUCUCCAUUCUGAUUCCACUUUAAGGUCCCUUUCUGUUCUGCUACUUUCCUCAGAAUGCCUUUCAGCCUCAUAAGCAAAUGUCAGGAGACUAUCUCUUCCUCGAAUUCUUCAUGAACCUUCCCCUGGCCUGCCCCAUGGAAAGCAUCUCGCUCCCCAUCAUGCACCCCCAGCCCUGGGAAUGUUGUCUAGAAAUCUCACAUUGCAUUAUGACACACAUUAGUUUCAUGCACUGUCUUAUGCAACACCCAGAGGGCCUCUGGAAGGUAGAGAGUUCCAUGUCAUUGAAGAUUUUCAAGCAGAGGUUUGGCAGCCACUUAUCUUGGAUGAGGCAGAGGAGGAGAUUCAAGCAUGAGGCAGAGAUCUGCAGGAGAUGAACUUUGAGGUCACCUCCAGCAGUCACUGAACAAGCACUCUGUGCCAGGUUGUAGGCCACAUGCUUCCCUACAAACUGUAUGUAACCCUCAUACAAUCCUGAGAAUGACAUCAUUGCCCAACAUCACAGAUGAAUAAGUGGUAGAGCUGGGAGUCCAAUUAGAUCUCUGAUUCAAGGCUUGUUUCCAUAUCAAAUAAGAGUUACACAAAAUAAAGAAAUAAGAUGGAUGAUUUCCA